AACGAACGCUGGCGGCGUGGAUAAGACAUGCAAGUCGAACGGGAUUUCAUUGGUAGCAAUACUCGUGAAGUUCAGUGGCGUAAGGGUGCGUAACACGUGGGCAACCUGCCGAGAAGUGGGGGAUAGCUCGUCGAAAGGCGAAUUAAUACCGCAUGUGGUUAGCGCUGGAGUCAGUGCGACACCAAAGCCGGGGCAACCUGGCGCUUCUUGAUGGGCCCGCGGCCUAUCAGCUAGUUGGUGAGGUAACGGCUCACCAAGGCUAUGACGGGUAGCUGGUCUGAGAGGACGACCAGCCACACUGGAACUGAGACACGGUCCAGACACCUACGGGUGGCAGCAGUCGAGAAUUUUUCUCAAUGGGGAAACCCUGAAGGAGCGACGCCGCGUGGAGGAUGAAGGUCUUCGGAUUGUAAACUCCUGUCAUUUGGGAACAAUGUGCAUUGGUUAACUGCCGGUGCAUUGAUAGUACCAGAA
rnacentral:rRNA from 1 species